rnacentral:rRNA from 1 species
AUUGAACGCUGGCGGCAGGCCUAACACAUGCAAGUCGAACGGUAACAGGAAGCAGCUUGCUGCUUCGCUGACGAGUGGCGGACGGGUGAGUAAUGUCUGGGAAGCUGCCUGAUGGAGGGGGAUAACUACUGGAAACGGUAGCUAAUACCGCAUAAUGUCGCAGGACCAAAGAGGGGGACCUUCGGGCCUCUUGCCAUCGGAUGUGCCCAGAUGGGAUUAGCUUGUUGGUGGGGUAGCGGCUCACCAAGGCGACGAUCCCUAGCUGGUCUGAGAGGAUGACCAGCCACACUGGAACUGAGACACGGUCCAGACUCCUACGGGAGGCAGCAGUGGGGAAUAUUGCACAAUGGGCGCAAGCCUGAUGCAGCCAUGCCGCGUGUAUGAAGAAGGCCUUCGGGUUGUAAAGUACUUUCAGCGGGGAGGAAGGGAGUAAAGUUAAUACCUUUGCUCAUUGACGUUACCCGCAGAAGAAGCACCGGCUAACUCCGUG